ensembl:snoRNA SNORA74 Small nucleolar RNA SNORA74
UCCAGUGGUAGUCAGCUAUCCAGGACAUUGCCAUUCCUGUGAUAGUGUUACACUACUGGUAGAUUAAUAGUCUGUCCUCUUGAUCUGGUCCCUAUUUUCACUGUUCUAGUGAUUUCUGGUAUCAGAAUAAACAGAAGGAAACUGUGCUUCCUCAAGAGUGUACUGAGCAGUCAUUUUGACUAUUCAUUGUUAGCACGGAAGCAAACAAA